rnacentral:lncRNA from 1 species
CUGACUCAGUUAUGUUUUGUUUACUUGCACAUUGUUAUCCACUCUUACUAGCAUCUGUAGGAAAUAUUUGAAUUCUCCAGGAUAAUCGUGUUCCUCUGGAUGCAGCUUCUCGGCCAAGCGAUAUAGGGAUUCUGGGUACAGAGUUUGAUACUCUUCAUGGUUCAAUGUGUACCUUCCUCCGGCAUUUACAACUAUGUUGUCAACGGUUAGUUUGCCUAUUAAGUUUCCAUUUCUCAUCAUGUUGAUACAGUUCCAAAUGGUGUCCUUGCAUUUGUUUUUAAGAGAUCAAAUAACACAGUCAACCAAAAUUGAUUGCAUAAUAUGUAGAUAAAUUAUGAGACUUGUAAUAGGGUAAUAGAAUGAUAUGUUAAUUCUUUAUUAUCUUAUAUAUGUUAUAGGUUCUUGUCCAGAGUGUAGUUUUUUUGUUUAUUGUUUUUGUUUUGUUGAUUUGGUGCAGAUGGUGGUGGUGAUGAUGAGAGAUGUGUGUGGGGUUGGACACAAGAAGGUCUCUUGAGGUUCUGCAGAACUCGUCUCUGAUUUUUGCAGAGGAGAGGAUUCCUAUGAAGGACCCUAUUGGCGAGUUUCAUAAGUACACUGGUGGUUAGAAAAUAUCAGCAAUGAUCAUGACUGGGCUGUGAGUUAUUGUAAUCUUUAUAUUAGUUGCAACAAUCAUUUGUUUAGUGCUAAUUUCAAUUUCACAUUAUUAAGUACUAGAUUGUGUAAUUAAAAAUCUUCCAGUUCUCAUCAACAAAGGCAUGCGUACAUUAUGAUUAUACAUCAAUUAUGUAAGGCGACCGUGAUUGUAAUGCACGUAUCUUCUGUAUGAUAUUGAAAACUACAACUAUUAUCCAACUUUGUCUUCUAUCUUCUGCCUAAGAUUGUAAUGCAAGUCUACUUUUUGUCUACAACAACAGCUAUCAAUGUAAUACGCAAUGAAAUGUGUAAUGCAAUAAGCAGCUAUCAAUGUAAUGCGCAAUGUAAAACAAAUUGUUUUGGAAGAAAGAACAAACAACAGCAACCGAAAGAUUGCAAGAAGAAGUUGGUUUGGUAGUGAUGCACAAUUUACAUCUAUCAAGGUAAUGCACAAUUAAUGUAAGGCCUCGAAAGCUAGUUGCAUACCUGUAUAGUUGGUACACAGCCCUUGGAACCUUGUUCUUCGCAACAAGGUUUUCUGCAAAUGAAUCAUAAUUCUCCGGAUGGGGAAUUAUGUCCUCUCUCAAUGUCAACUGUUUCAUAGAGUAAAUUAAAUCAAUACGUGAAGGUGUUAUAAUGAUAAUGAGAUCAUCUUGGUUAUUAGGAACCUACCAGUUCCCCUGUAAAGACAGGGCAUCCAUACUUGAAUAAAAGGUUCAGACAUGACAUUUUGCAAUAAAUUUUAAUGGGCAGCAUUUCUUGAUUGAUGAUAUGCUCAAUAGUUUUUAACUUCUUUGAAAAAAUAAACAUUACAAUAUUUCAUUCAGUUUUUUUGGAGUUCUGAAGCUUUAAUUAACAGACCAAAAGUGCCUUAUGUCUGAAGUGUGGUUGUUGCUCUCAAAUUGCUACUAGCCUCCUACUGCCCUUCAUCCAAUUGCUACUAGCGUAAUGGAAUUCUCAUCUUCGUUAAAUUCAAGAAAAAAAUUCAGUUUAUUACCCUGAACUUUAGGUCUAAAAUCAGUUUGAUACCUCAUCUUUUUUUUUAAUCAAUUUCAUACCUAAACUUUCAAAAUGACAUCAAUCUCGACCAAAAUGACUAAAAUAGCCCUGAUUAAUCUUUUUACCCUCUCUCUCCCUGCCUCCAAAUCCACCACAUGGCCGGCGCCGGCAUCCACCCCUACCACCAGCAAUGGGCCCCGGCGGCAGCCCCUCCUCCUCCCCCGGCCGUCGCCGCUGCCAUUCUUAACUCUGAGUGGGUAAAAAGAUUAACCAGGGCUAUUUUAGUCAUUUUAGUCGAGAUUGAUGUCAUUUUGAAAGUUUAGGUAUGAAACUGAUUAAAAAAAAGAUGAGGUAUCAAAAUGAUUUUAGACCUAAAGUUCAGGAUAGUAAAAUGAAAUUAUCUCUAAAUUCAAUGCUUUGCUCAAUCAUGAAUAUAUAUACCAAAAGAACUACUCUUGGGAACAUGACUUCUAUCAUUUCUACUAUCUCUCUCCGGUUGAAAAAAUAUACAAUUACAUUGGGUGGCACAUCUGCAGCAGCUUUGGCAACCAUAUAUUUCCUCUGCUCCGGGUUGUCAAUACCACAUGAUUCAUAAUCUUCAAUAACUUUUUCUUCAACCUUGUCUCUUUUUUUUAGGUACUUGUCACGUUCUUCUCUAUUAUGUCUUUAUAUAGUUUCAUUCAAAUGUUGAAAGACAAACCUGUAGUAAUAGAUGAAUCUCUUACCGUUCUUGAGGUACUCCUCUCCAUAUUCAUUGUAGACAACUUUGAAGAAUUUGGCUGCUUCUAUCUUUCGUUUAACGACAUCAUCUAUAUUUGUUUCUAUGCUCAAGGUCGGAAUAUAUUAUUCAAGGUCUGCCCAUAUUCCUUGGUAGGUUUUUGCUCUCUGUGAAAACAUAGGAUAUGCAUGGCACAUGAUCUCCUAUAUUUCUUUGUCUGUUAAUAGUGAAGGAUGAUAGUAUAAUUGCCGAAGUUUGUUCCUGCAUGCAAGUGAGAAUGUGAAAGCCAAGAUAAUAUAUUGAACUAUUAUUGUUUGUUUACGCUUUUUUAUAUUAUGCUAAACACUUUAAAUGAAAGUGAUUAUGAUUAUUGAAAUAUGCAAUUGUUAUGGCAAUUAACGUUCCUAGCUGACUCAGUUAUGUUUUGUUUACUUACACAUCGUUAUCCACUCUUACUAGCAUCUGUAGGAAAUGUUUGAAUUCUCCAGGAUAAUCGUGUUCCUCUGGAUGCAGCUUCUCGACCAAGCGAUAUAGGGAUUCUGGGUACAGAGUUUGAUACUCUUCAUGGUUCAAUGUGUACCUUCCUCCGGCAUUUACAACUAUAUUGUCAACGGUUAGUUUGCCUAUUAAGUUUCCAUUUCUCAUCAUGUUGACGCAGUUCCGAAUGGUGUCCUUGCAUUUUUUUUAGGAGAUCAAAUAACACAAUUAACCAAAAUUGAUUUUUUCCAAGACAAAGUGCAUAAUAUGUAGAUAAAUUAUGAGACUUGUAAUAGGGUAGCAGAAUGAUAUGUUAAUUCUUUAUUAUCUUAUAUAUGUUAUACUUUCUUGUCCAAAGUGUGGUUUUUUGUUUUUUUGUUUUUGUUUUGAGUUUUGUUGAUUUGGUACAGAUUGUGGUGGUGAUGAUGAGAGAUGUGUGUGGGGUUGGACACAAGAAGGUCUCUUGAGGUUCUGCAUAACUCGUCUCUGAUUUUUGCAGAGGAGAGGAUUCCUAUGAAGGACCCUAUUGACGAGUUUCAUAAGUACAUUGGUGGUUAGAAAAUAUCAGCAAUGAUCAUUAUUGGGCUGUGAGUUCUUGUAAUCUUUAUAUUAGUUGCAACAAUCAUUUGUUUAGUGCUAAUUUCAAUUUCGAUUCAC